UACGAAGGGGGCGAGCGUUGUUCGGAUUUACUGGGCGUAAAGGGCGCGCAGGCGGUUCUGUUUGUCGAGUGUGAAAGCCCCGGGCUUAACCUGGGAACUGCGCUCGAAACGGCGGGACUAGAGAUCGGGAGAGGAGAGUGGAAUUCCCAGUGUAGAGGUGAAAUGCGCAGAUAUCAGGAGGAACACCGGUGGCGAAGGCGGGUCUCUGGGCCGAUACUGACGCUGAGGAGCGAAAGCGUGGGGAGCAAACAGG
rnacentral:rRNA from 1 species